CACAGUCAGUAUAAUUUGAAAACACCUUCCCUUGCUUUGACCGCUCACUCGAGUCCGGGCAGUGAGCGGAGGAGGGAGUUCUGCGGUGGCUGUAGGAUGUAGCGUGUACAGUGCGGGUGCAGCGUGUACAGUGCGGCGGAGGUGCGAGGCGACUGCGGCAUCUGCAUCAGUGACCGGCAUUCGUUGAUUUCAUGGCAGUAAGCAGAGACAAAGUUUGAGAAGACAGACAGGAAUCCUUGCGCCGUAGAAAAACCAGCACAUUGUUUCGGGGCCUUGAGUUAUGUGAAAAGGAAGAGGUAGGAAGGAGACCAGCCCCAUGGAAAAUUCUAGCUGCAUCCACGCAUUUCUCAACUGAACCUUACAAUUAUCAAGAACAAGCACUUAAAAACUACAGAUCAUUUACCAUGAUCAAGGCCUGGGAAAGGCUGAAACACAGACAACUUUAAAUAUACAGCUAUGAUCUAGAUGACAACCUGAAACAAAAUGAAAAUUGGAUUUCUAUCACAUGGACAUUCUCUAGUUUUUAUUACUGUAAUAAACUUUGUUUGAUGGUAUCAAAUAAGAUAUUAUUUAACCACAUGUGCACUUGACUUGGAGUAUUCUUUGUUUUCUGGCUACGUAAACAAGAAUUGCAAGAUCACAUAUUUUUCUAAGGCAGAACAUUUUAUGAGAAACAGAUAUUUUUAAUUCCAUAGACCUCUCAAGUAUUACACUUCUGAUUAUGAAUUAUAAGCUCUGAAUAAAGUGCAAUAUUCAGCAUUGUAUUUGUAAUGUAUUGGUUAUUCUACAUAGACUUGCAGAAAUGGCAUAUCUUCUAGAGAUAGAUUUACAGGU